rnacentral:lncRNA from 1 species
UCAUCCUCUGGGCUCGGAGGAAUCCUCCUCCGCAUAUGAUGGCAACUCCUUCGCCCCUCCUUCCAAAAUGGAAUGAUUCAUGUCGUCCCGUGGUCACUUAGUGCAUGGAUGUCCUUUCUGUGCUGGUGGGUGUUCCCAUCGUGAUAAAGACUCUUCAUCAUUAAGGUAACAAUAACAAAGUAACACUGUAGAUUGAUUCUUCACAAUAUACAUCCUUUUUUCUAAACUGAAAUAACUAAUGCACAUCUGCAGACAUAAGUUGUGGAUCAUGGAACCUGUGUUGAUGGCCAGAUAUGUCACAAAACCGUUAGGUUAAUUUGCUCUCUUUUUUUGUGGGAAAGUUAAUUUGCUCUUAUCCAUGAAAUGUAAUUGAGAUCUAUAGAAUGCAGAUCAGAUGCACCAAGAAAGUAAAGAUUGUGUUGUCACAAACUAUGAUCUGAUGUAGUGAUAUUUUGUUGCUUUUUGGUGAAUCUGAACUAUAUUACGU